rnacentral:tRNA from 1 species
UGGAGCUGGCAGUGGGAUUCGAACCCACGACCUGUUGAUUACGAAUCAACUGCUCUGCCCCUGAGCUACGCCAGC